rnacentral:lncRNA from 1 species
AAAGUUGUUUCUGACAGCUGCACCACACCAAGAUUCCUGGUACCACAAGCAAUUGCUCACUUAACACCAAUAUUGUUUCCUGAAAAUCCCUACUUGAUUAAAAAAGUCAUCACCCCCACAUUCCUUCUCUGGUGACAAUCACAGUGGCAGAGGGAAAGAAAGAGCACUUAGCAUCACUUCCAGUACAUGAUAGUCACACAGAAUCUGUCUGUUUUCAUGGCAAAAGUUGAAUGUCAUGUUACUUAAACUACAAAUAAACCAAGUAGGGCUGAAAUAUAAACCAUGGCUGAAGAUCAUCUCAAAAGCAAUAAAAGUGGAAAUGUUAUGCAAGGAAUUGGCUUCCAAGUUCUAAUACACUGGAGCCAUAGGGUAAAAUGGUAUAUUUAGGAUAAGCAAAAGGAAGUACACACAAGCAACCUACAGUUUGUGGCUCCAGGUUUUUCUUUUUCUGUUUUUCUUUUUUGUAAAUUGUUUGAUUUCACUCUACAUGUUUACAUAGGAGCUUUUAAAAUGGUGGUCUGG